rnacentral:rRNA from 1 species
GAUGAACGCUAGCGGCAGGCUUAAUACAUGCAAGUCGAGGGGCAGCAUGAGUGUAGCAAUACAUUUGAUGGCGACCGGCAAACGGGUGCGGAACACGUACACAACCUUCCUAUAAGUGGGGAAUAGCCCAGAGAAAUUUGGAUUAAUACCCCGUAACAUAAUGAUGUGGCAUCACAUUAUUAUUAUAGCUUCGGCGCUUAUUGAUGGGUGUGCGGCUGAUUAGAUAGUUGGCGGGGUAACGGCCCACCAAGUCUACGAUCAGUAGCUGAUGUGAGAGCAUGAUCAGCCACACGGGCACUGAGACACGGGCCCGACUCCUACGGGAGGCAGCAGUAAGGAAUAUUGGUCAAUGGACGCAAGUCUGAACCAGCCAUGCCGCGUGAAGGAUUAAGGUCCUCUGGAUUGUAAACUUCUUUUAUCUGGGACGAAAAAAGGCGAUUCUUCGUCACUUGACGGUACCAGAUGAAUAAGCACCGGCUAACUACGUGCCAGCCGCCGCAGUAAAAC